UGCAAAUCCUGUAGGAUUUCAUGGACCAGAUGGAGCGAUGGUUAAAGGAUAUUAAUUGAGAAUAAUUGAGACAGGGAUCUCAAAAGCAAUUUUCUAUCGUCAGCAGGGUCAUCAGGGUCUGAAUACCAUUGACAUUUAACUGUGGAAGGAGAAAGGUUGAUUUAUGGU